rnacentral:rRNA from 1 species
CGUAGGUGGCUGAUUAAGUCGGGUGUGAAAUCCCAGGGCUCAACCCUGGAACUGCAUUCGAUACUGGUUGGCUAGAGUUCGGGAGGGGGAUGCGGAAUUCCGAGUGUAGCAGUGAAAUGCGUAGAGAUUCGGAGGAACACCUGAGGCGAAGGCGGCAUCCUGGACCGAUACUGACACUGAGGCCCGAAAGCGUGGGGAGCAAACA